rnacentral:rRNA from 1 species
GAUGAACGCUGGCGGCGUGCCUAAUACAUGCAAGUCGAGCGAACAGAUGAGAAGCUUGCUUCUCUGAUGUUAGCGGCGGACGGGUGAGUAACACGUGGGUAACCUACCUAUAAGACUGGGAUAACUCCGGGAAACCGGGGCUAAUACCGGAUAAUAUUUUGAACCGCAUGGUUCAAUAGUGAAAGACAGUUUCGGCUGUCACUUAUAGAUGGACCCGCGCCGUAUUAGCUAGUUGGUAAGGUGACGGCUUACCAAGGCGACGAUACGUAGCCGACCUGAGAGGGUGAUCGGCCACACUGGAACUGAGACACGGUCCAGACUCCUACGGGAGGCAGCAGUAGGGAAUCUUCCGCAAUGGGCGAAAGCCUGACGGAGCAACGCCGCGUGAGUGAUGAAGGUCUUCGGAUCGUAAAACUCUGUUGUUAGGGAAGAACAAAUUUGUUAGUAACUGAACAAGUCUUGACGGUACCUAACCAGAAAGCCACGGCUAACUACGUGCCAGCCGCCGCGGUAA